rnacentral:rRNA from 1 species
GUCUAUGGACGUACCACUCUGAACGUGCCUGAUCUUGUCUGAUCUCAGAAGCUAAGCAGUGUUGGGCUUGGUUUGUACUUGGAUGGGAGAACAAGGUAAAGGUU